rnacentral:rRNA from 1 species
ACGCUCGACACCUACGGGAGCAGCAGUUGGGAAUAUUGGACAAUGGAGGAAACUCUGAUCCAGUGACGCCGCGUGAAGGAAGAAGGUCUUCGGAUUGUAAACUUAUUUUGUCAGGGAAGAAAAAUGACUGUACCUGAAGAAAAAGCACCGGCUAACUACGUGCCACAGCCGCGGUAAUCUGAGCGGGCUGGCAAGGC